rnacentral:lncRNA from 13 species
AUGGAACCGUCCCAGGUAUGGGCCCUCAGCCGCCCCGGGACGGCCUCGGGAAAGGGAUUCGUGGACUGCCUGGCUGAGAGCCAGCCGGUGCUCAGUGAGCGGACCAAGGGGCCUGUAGGCCUGGGAGGAGAGACGGGAAGAAAUACAAUCUUCACCUGUCUCCUUGCUGCCUGUGCUCAAGGUGUGGAUCCUGGUCUUGCACAUCAGCAUGAAUCAAGAGCAGCAUUAUGGAUGAUUGUAGGCUCACACUGGCACAACACCAACAUUCAUUUUACAGGCAGCUCUAGAAAGACACACAACCCCACUCCUCAUUUGAUGACCUGAUGGCGGUGUAUGUGAGCUGUUGGUCCUCUCCAAAAAGAUACAUGUCAAAAUAAACACAACAGCCAGCUUUGCAAAGAGAGCCAAGACACAAUAUUCAAUCCUCUUCUUAAGGAACGUACGGAUUCCUCAAGGAUCUGCCUUGCAAAGUGAGCUACCUAUAAACUUGCCAUGUAAACUGGAGUCACGAGAGUCUGAAAGAAUGUAGAGGCAUUGCUGGUCAGUGCACAAGCAUUGCUAAAUCAGUAGGUGGUCGAUGGGGUUGACGUGAAC